GAUGAUGUGGAUGGAUGUUGAAUGAUCCUUUAGUCCUCGUAUGAUAUGAUAUGAUGAUGAUACGGUAUGGAAGACCAGUGAGGCCCAUUCUACGCCCCUGGCACUAUGUUAAGAGAAAGACCAGUGAGGCCCAUUCUAUGCCCCUGGCACUAUGGAAUGUUAUGCUAUGUUAUGUUAUGGUAAGAGAAAGACUAGUGAGGCCCAUUCUACGCCUCUGGCACGAUUGGACUAUGUAGAGGACUAUUGGUGACAAGUCCAUCCUUGAUGUGAUUUGUUUGUGAUGUGUUGCAUUUCAUGAAAGUAUGAAAUUUAAAUUGAAUGUUUAUUUAUUCUGCUCACUGGGCUUUAUAGCUCACCCCUCUCUCUUAACCCCCAGGUUUGCAGGUACAGGGUAGACCAGGAGGUCAGCAGGAGUAGAGUCAUGUUUUAUGUAAUAGAUAGAUGUGGACAUGAAUUUG
rnacentral:lncRNA from 1 species